CUUUACUAUUGUGCUGAAGACCUACACAAAGUUAUUCAGAUACUUGAGUUGGUUGUGUUUGUUUAAUUUUAGGAACCUGUGACCAAACACAUGAAGCCUGACAACAUGAGCGUUGGACAAAGCUCAACAGCAGCGAGUCUUUCAGAUGCUGUUGAAUACUCCAGUUUCUCGAUCAACACUAACUGGCAAGGAAGUGUGCUAGUCGAGCAAUGACCAAAGGCUGCCGCUUAGCGAUGGAGCUCAGGAGCCGCGCUGGGAUAGCCGGGGCACCCAGAUCCACCUGUACAAGGUUCCAGGAUCCAAGCGCUGGGCAGAAUUUCCCCUCUCACCACAUCCUUACAAGGGUGAGGCAUGGAUGCAUCAUACACAGACUGAAUAGCCAAGACAGACAAGUUCUCCUGCAUGAAAGAAAGUGUAAAGAAGACAAUUUUAAUUUCAUUUUUUAAUGCAUGCAGUAAUGUUUUGUUUACCAUGAGGCAUAUUUCUCAUUAAAUAAGCUUUUUUUUUCCUGU